CACUCCAAGGUGGCUUUGAUAGCCAACCUUAGAAAAACAUUGAGUAGCAAGAUCCCUAUGGUUUAACCGUAGGUCUCCCUUCCACUCAGCGGCCACGACCAUUGCUGCUGCUUAGCUUAAAAAUCAGGCCUACAAUCACACGCCAUAGGA